GUGAAACAGGAACAUGAAGGUGGUAAUGGAGUGGAAGCAGAGCAGGGAAAGCCUUGCUGAUGGAUUAUUAGGCACUGUCAAAGUUUCAACAGAGUGGAAAACUUGGAGGCCGAAGGCCUGUGAGACAUUGUGCUCCACACACCUGGUUGUUCCUAUUGCUAGCAGGACUCAGAACCACCGAAAUCAUUGAUGGCAGCAGGCAGCACCAGCUACAGGGAGAUGUGAGGCUCCAGAGUGCUUUGGGACCUCAAGAUGCAGCACCUCUAAACAGCCUGGUGAAUGUUCUUGGAUGUUGCCAUGGGAGUUGCUGCUGACUCUGGGUUAUGAUUCAUACCCACCUCUAAAGGCACAUGGCUUGUCCUCUCCAAUCAAAAGGGAAGAGGAGGAAUGACAUGAAGUC